GCCUUCGUGGUGUAGUGAUCAGCACACUGGAUGCGUAUUCUAGAGGUCCAUGGUUCGAGUCCCGGCAAAGGCA
rnacentral:tRNA from 1 species